rnacentral:rRNA from 1 species
CCUACGGGUGGCAGCAGUCGAGAAUCAUUCACAAUGGGGGAAACCCUGAUGGUGCGACGCCGCGUGGGGGAAUGAAGGUCUUCGGAUUGUAAACCCCUGUCAUGUGGGAGCAAAUUAAAAAGAUAGUACCACAAGAGGAAGAGACGGCUAACUCUGUGCCAGCAGCCGCGGUAAUACAGAGGUCGCAAGCGUUGUUCGGAAUCACUGGGCGUAAAGCGUGCGUAGGCUGUUUCGUAAGUCGUGUGUGAAAGGCGCGGGCUCAACCCGCGGACGGCACAUGAUACUGCGAGACUAGAGUAAGGGAGGGGGAACCGGAAUUCUCGGUGUAGCAGUGAAAUGCGUAGAUAUCGAGAGGAACACUCGUGGCGAAGGCGGGUUCCUGGACAUUAACUGACGCUGAGGCACGAAGGCCAGGGGAGCGAAAGGGAUUAGAUACCCUUGUAGUC